rnacentral:rRNA from 1 species
GAUGAACGCUGGCGGCGUGCUUAACACAUGCAAGUCGAGCGAAGCACUUAAGUUUGAUUCUUCGGAUGAAGACUUUUGUGACUGAGCGGCGACGGGUGAGUACGCGUGGUAACCGUGCCUCAUACAGGGGGAUAACAGUUAGAAAUGGCUGCUAAUACCGCAUAAGACCACAGUACUGCAUGGUACAGUGGUAAAAACUCCGGUGGUAUGAGAUGGACCCGCGUCUGAUUAGGUAGUUGGUGAGGUAACGGCCCACCAAGCCGACGAUCAGUAGCCGACCUGAGAGGGUGACCGGCCACAUUGGGACUGAGACACGGCCCAG